AGAGUUUGAUCCUGGCUCAGAAUGAACGUGGGCGGCGUGGAUUAGGCAUGCAAGUCGAGGGAGAACCCGCAAGGGGGACACCGGCGAACGGGGUAGGAUCACCUCGGUGACGUACCCUCCGGACGGGGAUAGCCACGGGAAACUGUGGGUAAUACCCGAUGACCUGACAGGGGCUUAGGCCUUGUCAGCAAAGGUGAGAUUCCACCGGAGGAGCGGCUGAGGCGCUAUUAGCUUGUUGGUGAGGUAACGGCUCACCAAGGCGACGAUGGCUAGGGGGUGUGAGAGCAUGGCCCCCACCACUGGCACUGAGACACUGGCCAGACACCUACGGGUGGUUGCAGUCGAGAAUCUUCGGCAAUGGGCGCAAGCCUGACCGAGCGACGCCGCGUGCGGGAUGAAGGUCUUCGGAUUGUAAACCGCUGUCGGAGGGGAUGAAGUGUAUGGGAGCAAUCUCCUGUAUUUGACAGAGCCUCGGAGGAAGCACGGGCUAAGUUCGUGCCAGCAGCCGCGGUAAUACGAACUGUGCAAACGUUAUUCGGAAUCACUGGGCUUAAAGGGUGCGUAGGCGGUCGCACAAGUCAGGUGUGAAAUCCCCCGGCUCAACCGGGGAAUUGCGCUUGAAACUAGGUGACUUGAGUGAGGUAAGGGUACGCGGAACUUCUGGUGGAGCGGUGAAAUGUGUAGAUAUCAGAAGGAACGCCGGUGGCGAAAGCGGCGUACUGGGCCUUGUCUGACGCUGAGGCACUAAAGCUAGGGAAGUGAACGGGAUUAGAUACCCCGGUAAUCCUAGCCGUAAACACUGAGCACUGGAGGGGAGGGGCUUCGGCCGUUUCCCUCGUAGCGAAAGCGUUAAGUGCUCCGCCUGGGGAGUAUGGUCGCAAGGCUGAAACUCAAAGGAAUUGACGG
rnacentral:rRNA from 1 species